rnacentral:rRNA from 1 species
UACGUAGGGUGCGAGCGUUGUCCGGAAUUAUUGGGCGUAAGGGGCUCGUAGGCGGUUUGUCGCGUCGGGAGUGAAAUCCACUGGCUUAACUGGUGGCUUGCUUUCGAUACGGGCAGACUGGAGGUAUGCAGGGGAGAACGGAAUUCCUGGUGUAGCGGUGAAAUGCGCAGAUAUCAGGAGGAACACCGGUGGCGAAGGCGGUUCUCUGGGCAUGUCCUGACGCUGAGGAGCGAAAGCGUGGGGAGCGAACAGG